AUGAAGACACCUAUGCUGCUGCAAACAAGCAAACUUUACACACCCAUGAUAUUUGAAGUAUUCCAAACUGAAUAUGAAAGAUCCACGACUGCAUGUGCUACAUCAUUGGAUGGAAAUAACAAAUAUUCGGUUGCAAUUGUGAGGGCUGAUGGUGAUUUGAGUUCUGAACUAGAGCGCAUUGUUGUUGGUGACCUAUUGGAGCAAACAUCUUCAUGCAGUUGUGGGCAGUUUAAAAGGACCGGAAUAUUGUGUGGCCAUGCUUUGAAAGUUCUUGACUUGAUGAAUAUCAAGUUCUUAACUAACCAUUACAUUCUUAAGCAAUGGACAAGGGAAGCAAGGUAUGGAACUGUACAAGACAACAAAGGG
rnacentral:rRNA from 1 species